UACGUAGGGUGCGAGCGUUAAUCGGAUUUACUGGGCGUAAAGCGUGCGCAGGCGGCCCGUUAAGACAGGUGUGAAAUCCCUGGGCUCAACCUAGGAAUUGCGCUUGUGACUGGCGGGCUCGAGUACGGUAGAGGGGGGUGGAAUUCCUGGUGUAGCAGUGAAAUGCGUAGAGAUCAGGAGGAACACCGAUGGCGAAGGCAGCCCCCUGGGCCUGUACUGACGCUCAUGCACGAAAGCGCGGGGAGCAAACAGG
rnacentral:rRNA from 1 species